AACCAGAUUAGCCAUGGAGAAUAGGCCAAUAAGGUGCUUUCUUCUAAGGUCUCUGCUUCAGUACCUGCUGAGCUUCCCUCAACAAUGGACUGUGCGGUUAGUACGGAUGUGGGACCAUCCACAGGAGCAGAGGCCACAAUUAAGGAAACUGACACUCCCUCCCCAGAAGCCAUCAACUGUCAAAAGCUGCACACAGCAUCAGGACCAUUGCCUACCAUAUUUAAUGAUACAUAUGAAGAGAGAGACCUGGGAAAUACAAGAAAGGGCCUGAAAUUCAAAUACAUGUCUUAACGAACUUCAUUAUACACUGAAGCUAUAAUUUAAAAUACAAAAAAAUAGAACCAAAAGUGAGAAGAACCCUGUGGAAUAACUGAAGUCUCAAGAAAACCGUAGACCUCACCCCUCAUCAAGAGAACUUCUCUUUCCAACAAAUGGAGAUUGUUAUAGAAAGCCACAACCAAUCAAAUGCAGAGUGGUGGAGCUCCAUCCCAGUGGAUACAUCUACAACACAAAUCCCACACGCAGGGCUCAGGGUACAUAGCAGAAGAUGGGGUGAAAAGACAGGAAGAACCUGAGCUCAGGGUGUUUGCUGUGAGAUUUUGUCUGCUGGUAAUGUCAGAAGUUAUAUCCAUAAAGUUUUAUCAAUGCAACUGCCUAAAUGUGAGCUGACCAAGGACAACAAUAAUAAGUUGUUAAAGCAAAGAACAGAAAGCCCAUGAGGGCUCAACUCUACACAAAGUAUUACAGGCAACCAAGAAAUGAUGGGAAUAUAUACUGUUAUAUAUACUCUAUAUAACUAAGAGAAGUAAGUGUUGGGGGGGCACAAUUAAAAAAUGCAGGUUCUAAAACUGAAGAUAGUGGGGUCUAAUUUAAAAGUCUAAUUUAAGAGUUUAUUAAUUAGAUUACAGUCAACAGAGGAAAAAAAUCCCUCAUCUUCUUUAGAGACCAAGGCAUUUUAAUAUUUUAAUACGAAAAGUCGAGUUUCCACAGUGUGCAGAUGAGACAAUGCAUGUAAAGUGGCCAAUCCAAUACUUGUAAUAUCAGUGCUUAGGAAUCAGAAGUCAUCCUAAGACCAAUGUAGAAUUUCAUUUAACCACUGAAAAAAACUGACAGUAUGAGGUUCAAAAACUUAAUUACUUAAUGACAAGCAGCUGUGGGAUUAAAUCGUACCUUCAAAUGGUUCUAUUAUUAUAUUACUAUCUUCAGUGCUACAUGGAUUUUACACUAAGUAGAAGAAAAAUGUGUUUCAGUUUUGUUGAGGAACAUAUACAAAGAGCCUAAACUUGUUGGGCAGGAAUAUAAAAUUUUUCAAAUUGUUUUGGCUUAAGUGGACAACCAAUAGUAAUCCCUGAUACAUACAUGAUGAUUCACCACCUCCAACUGGGAAUUCCACUUCUUACCACUAAGCAUGUGUCGGCCAGUGCUCAAUAAACAAAACAUGUGGCAUAUAAAAUCGUCGUGGCUUCCUUUCCUACAUCUCAAAUUGAUACUGGAGAUAAUAUAUGAAUAGCAAACUCCAAAGAGCAGGAGAAGGCGACAGAGUGAGGGAAAUGCUUUCUAGAGGGAAGAGGAAUGACGAGAGUAAGAAACUGGAACAGACACUUGACAGCUAUGAUGACCGUGUACUUGUAUGCACAUGCAAACCAACCAGACAAAACAAUGGGCCUUUCUUCCUGGCAUAAUUAUAUCAAGACAGAAAGGCAGUCUUCAGGUUUAUAAACUGAAAAGGGAUUUUUCAAUAACUGAAUGUUUCAACGUAGAUUAUUAGGCACCACUGGAAUUUCAUGGAGAGCAAAGACAAUCUUGUAAGCUUUCUUCAACAUAGUCACAAACUGAGAAGUAGAAUUUUAGAGGUAAAGACACUCUGGAACUUUAUCGUGCUAAAUUUUCAGUUAUUCGUUUUAUUUACGAUGAUCACAUUCUAUCUAGUGGGGGAAAGACUUGCCUGAAUUCUGUAGAGCCACUGCCCCUGCUGCUGUGGAUGCCACCUGCACAACCAAGACUUCAUAGCCAAACUUCUUCUGCCUGUUGACCUAACAUGAAGAACACACCGAGAAGCAAAGGGCACCGCACACUGGUUAUACACAAGGCAGACUUACAGGUACAGCCACUUACUGCUCGUCAACAAUCAGAAAACUAGACAUUUCUUCCGGGUGAUAACGGCACAAAACAAUGAAAUCCUCACAGUGAAUUCGUAAGCAUUCUGGUUUGAGUUUAAUCCUAGCUCUUUGAUUUAAACCAGUCACUUAGCUGGAUGCUGAAGACAUGAGGCUGCAGUUAAGUUGCUCUUGCAGAGGACCCAACUUCAGUUCCCAGAAUUCAGUUCAGUUCCCAGCAUCCAUACCUGGGGGCUCAUAACCAGCUGUAAUUCUAGCUCCAGGUGAUCCAACACCUUGGCCUUGGUGGACAUCUGAACUCACACACAUGAACACACAUAAUGAAAAAAAAUAUAUUUUUGAAGAGUCAUUUAUUACUCCUGGCAUGAAUUUUCUCAUAAAUAAAGUAAGGGGCUGAGAUUAGAUAAAAGUAGGCCAGCUAUCUAUUUCUAAAUUGUACCAUCCUAUUAUUACUAAACUGUAGCAUUCUGGUUUUACUUUUUAGGCCACUUACUCAUUUGUAAACUUUUACCACCAA